CUGGGGGGUGGGGAGGAAGCAGUUCCCCAGGAAGCUCAUUGCCAAGCCUGGGCCAGGACAAGGCCCCUGCUUCUCACGGAGCCAUGUGAUGCGGGAGUGUGUCACAUGCUCCUGACUGUCCCUCUCUUUUCCAUCUUGGAAAUGCCGCGUGGACCCUGCUGCGUGCCUGUCCUGUGCCGAGGACACGGGUCCAGACGGAGAUACCAGACGGUAGAAGACAGGCCAGUGGGAGCCAACUAGGAAGGUCAGACCCACCGGUGGGUGGUUGGCCUGAUCUACCUACGGGGUGACGGUCUACCUGUGGGGUGACAUCACUUUAUGGGGAGACUUUCAGGAACGCUCCUCUCUGCACGGGACGGCUUGUUUCUCAGAGUCGUCUUCCGGCACCCCAGGCCCAGGCCCAGGAGCCUCAGAAGGUCGAGAGUCUGCUCUGCCCUCAGGUCCACUCCUGCAGUCUGCACACGCUCCCUGUCCUGGAGUUGGAUCUCCUGGAUGUAUUCCAUGAAGUCAUCAAAUAACAAAAUCAUUUACUGGGUCUGAAUCUCCUGUUUUUAAAGGAUAAGAAGCUAUUUUCAUUGUCUAAAAUCUCUUGAAAUGAAGAUCUUAUGAAAAAUCACGUUUCCUGCUGCAGCUUCACCACCGCUUGGAGCUCCGUGCAUGUGCACCUGGGGCUUCUCCACCCAGUGGCGGUUCCCCUCCACCGAUGGCAGUUUUUCGGGCGUGUGCGCGAACACGAGGGCUUCUUCGUGGUAGGAAAACUUGCCUUUGUUGUGCCUGAGUCUUUCAUCCUGAAUCCUUUGCUUACCUCGACAAGCGCCCACUGGGCUUUCCACGCCCCUUCACUAGUCCUGGCAGAAGCUAUCAUCAAGAAAGCGUCUGCAGAUUCUGUUUGUCUGCUCAGGGCAUCUGUGAAGAAACAGAUCAUAUUCUGUGAUCCCCAAAACCUCAUCCUCAUUAACAAAUUUUGGAAUCCAGUGAACAUCAGGGAAAUCCUUGGAGCUGGAGGAAGGUCCUCCAGUUCCUGAAGUUGUACACUCUGGGCUUUGGCCGACAUAACUCUAAGGUGAGGCUAGACCUGGGUGCAGUUUUCACUGCCUCUCUCUACAGCAACCUCCCCAGAACAGAGCCAGCUCUCCAGGGGCCGGAGACAGCCAGACACUGAGUAGAAGGAGACUUCUCUACUCCUUCCUGUAGGGCACCCUGGUCUUGGAGCCAGAAGGUCUGGCUUCUAGCUCAUCUUAGUAUAAUCAGAAACUUCUAGAGCCUGGGCAAGCUACUUAUUGUCUAGAGCCUUGGGUUCACUGAUUUAUAACAUAUCGUUAGAUGAAAUAAAGAUGAUUUCUAAGAUC